rnacentral:rRNA from 1 species
GAUGAACGCUGGCAGCGUGCCUAAUACAUGCAAGUCGAGCGAACAGACGAGGAGCUUGCUCCUCUGACGUUAGCGGCGGACGGGUGAGUAACACGUGGAUAACCUACCUAUAAGACUGGGAUAACUUCGGGAAACCGGAGCUAAUACCGGAUAAUAUAUUGAACCGCAUGGUUCAAUAGUGAAAGACGGUUUUGCUGUCACUUAUAGAUGGAUCCGCGCCGCAUUAGCUAGUUGGUAAGGUAACGGCUUACCAAGGCAGCGAUGCGUAGCCGACCUGAGAGGGUGAUCGGCCACACUGGAACUGAGACACGGUCCAGACUCCUACGGGAGGCAGCAGUAGGGAAUCUUCCGCAAUGGGCGAAAGCCUGACGGAGCAACGCCGCGUGAGUGAUGAAGGUCUUCGGAUCGUAAAACUCUGUUAUUAGGGAAGAACAAAUGUGUAAGUAACUAUGCACGUCUUGACGGUACCUAAUCAGAAAGCCACGGCUAACUACGUG